AACGAACGCUGGCGGCGCGCCUAAUACAUGCAAGUCGAGCGAGAAGACGUAGCAAUACGUUUGUAAAGCGGCGAACGGGUGAGGAAUACAUGGGUAACCUACCCUCGAGUGGGGAAUAACUAGCCGAAAGGUUAGCUAAUACCGCGUACGCUCCUUGGACUUCGGUUCAGGGAGGAAAGCGAUACCGUGGGUAUCGCGCUCUUGGAUGGGCUCAUGUCCUAUCAGCUUGUUGGUGAGGAACGGCUCACCAAGGCUUCGACGGGUAGCUGGUCUGAGAGGACGAUCAGCCACACUGGCACUGCGACACGGGCCAGACUCCUACGGGAGGCAGCAGUGGGGAAUCUUGCGCAAUGGGCGAAAGCCUGACGCAGCGACGCCGCGUGAGGGAUGACGGCCU
rnacentral:rRNA from 1 species